CGAGCCCCCCUCCCCGGCAGCCUCCUCGCGGGUGCGGCCGACCGACACCGCACGCCUGACGGCCGCCGCCAGCCGUGCCGCAUGUCCUCGCGCCCAACGGCCGCGGCCAGCUGCGCCACCCGUCCUCGCGCCCGCUGCCAGCCACGCCGCCCGUCCUCGCGACCGCAUCCGGCCUCCUUGCAGCACGACGCGGCCGGCACUACGCGCCCAAGGGCCACCGCCAGACGCGCCCCCUCCUCGCGGUCUUGCCUUCCGUCGUCACGCCCACGGCCGGCCUCCUCACGCUCACGUCCGCGGCCGCCAGCACACGCCUGAGGCCACCGCGAACCGCGUUGAUCGGAGCCACCACGUCUUCCUUGACGCGCUACUGCACGUCAACGCCGGAGCUGAGCCCGUGACGCCUUCUGCAGCGACCCUAGGAGCAUCCUGCCACGCCGAAGCUGAGGCUGUGACGCCUUCUGCCUCCACCUCGCGCUUCUGACGCCGUCUUCAAUUAGACUGAGAACCAAACAGUGGAAGAUCAUGAAUUCAGAAUAGAGGCGGUUCAAGACCAUGGGGAGAAACACAACAAUUGCUGGAACAUAAAUUUGGUCCAGAGAAGGCUGGCACUUUAAACACAUAUGCUGUGAUGAAAUCUGGAUUAAAAAAUGUACAUAGCAGUGGAAAAAGUGCUCCAAUCCCCAGCCGAAAAGCAUAAAAGCGCUUGGAUGACUAUAAUGCAAGAGCAAUGCUUGCUGAGAAUUCAAAGGAAUUAGAUGCACACACGCACUGUAUUACAUGGAAGGUGGUUUGGCCCAUGGUCGUGUACCAAUAGCCGAUGGUGCUGUGGAUAAGGAAAAUGUUAUAGUAGUUGCAAAAUCCAAUAAUCUACGUCCUACCAAUACUGCUUCUUAUCGAACCGUGGUAGAUAAAAAUGACCAGUUGAAGGAGAUGAAUGAGGAGUUGAGGGAGACGAAUCGAGAUCUGAAGCGAAACAAUGACCAAAUGACCAAUUGAAGGAGAAAAAUAAGAUACUCACUGAGGAAAACAGUGUUAACCGUGAGCUGAUUAUGGCUACCGCAUCAUCACAUGCUGGCACUAACCUGGAUGGUAUGCACAGCAAUGGUAAUGACAUGAAUAGUGAUGAAGACCAUGACUGCAUUAUGGAUGAUGAAGAUGGCUGUGAUGAUGAUGAUUACUUGGAUGACAUAGAUGAAGAUGAUAGCUAUGAUAACAAUGGUGACAACGAAGAGGAGGUCGGCAAUUGAUGGAAUGGACAGGAAUGAAACCAGCACGACUCCUAACUUUUGGGCUCUUUUGGUUCUGUGCAUGGCUACUUUUGGUAACUGGUGCCUUUGGUUCAUACCAAACCUUUUGGAGUUGUGGUACUUACAAUUAAACUAUGUCAUGACAUGUAUUAUAUGGCAGCCUUUAUGCCUAUGUUGUGCCUUUUUUAUGAUGGCUAGAACUUGCUAUAAAUGUAAGGCAUUAUCGCCUUACUACACUAGUCAAAUAAUUGGGACUCGUCUUAUGUGUGCUGGUUUGAAAUGUUGGUGUGAGCUGUUGAUCGUA